AGAGUUUGAUCAUGGCUCAGAUUGAACGCUGGCGGCAGGCCUAACACAUGCAAGUCGAACGGUAACAGGAAGCAGCUUGCUGCUUCGCUGACGAGUGGCGGACGGGUGAGUAAUGUCUGGGGAUCUGCCUGAUGGAGGGGGAUAACUACUGGAAACGGUAGCUAAUACCGCAUAACGUCGCAAGACCAAAGAGGGGGACCUUCGGGCCUCUUGCCAUCAGAUGAACCCAGAUGGGAUUAGCUAGUAGGUGGGGUAACGGCUCACCUAGGCGACGAUCCCUAGCUGGUCUGAGAGGAUGACCAGCCACACUGGAACUGAGACACGGUCCAGACUCCUACGGGAGGCAGCAGUGGGGAAUAUUGCACAAUGGGCGCAAGCCUGAUGCAGCCAUGCCGCGUGUAUGAAGAAGGCCUUCGGGUUGUAAAGUACUUUCAGCGGGGAGGAAGGUGUUGUGGUUAAUAACCACAGCAAUUGACGUUACCCGCAGAAGAAGCACCGGCUAACUCCGUGCCAGCAGCCGCGGUAAUACGGAGGGUGCAAGCGUUAAUCGGAAUUACUGGGCGUAAAGCGCACGCAGGCGGUCUGUCAAGUCGGAUGUGAAAUCCCCGGGCUCAACCUGGGAACUGCAUUCGAAACUGGCAGGCUAGAGUCUUGUAGAGGGGGGUAGAAUUCCAGGUGUAGCGGUGAAAUGCGUAGAGAUCUGGAGGAAUACCGGUGGCGAAGGCGGCCCCCUGGACAAAGACUGACGCUCAGGUGCGAAAGCGUGGGGAGCAAACAGGAUUAGAUACCCUGGUAGUCCACGCCGUAAACGAUGUCGACUUGGAGGUUGUGCCCUUGAGGCGUGGCUUCCGGAGCUAACGCGUUAAGUCGACCGCCUGGGGAGUACGGCCGCAAGGUUAAAACUCAAAUGAAUUGACGGGGGCCCGCACAAGCGGUGGAGCAUGUGGUUUAAUUCGAUGCAACGCGAAGAACCUUACCUACUCUUGACAUCCAGAGAACUUUCCAGAGAUGGAUUGGUGCCUUCGGGAACUCUGAGACAGGUGCUGCAUGGCUGUCGUCAGCUCGUGUUGUGAAAUGUUGGGUUAAGUCCCGCAACGAGCGCAACCCUUAUCCUUUGUUGCCAGCGGUCCGGCCGGGAACUCAAAGGAGACUGCCAGUGAUAAACUGGAGGAAGGUGGGGAUGACGUCAAGUCAUCAUGGCCCUUACGAGUAGGGCUACACACGUGCUACAAUGGCGCAUACAAAGAGAAGCGAACUCGCGAGAGCAAGCGGACCUCAUAAAGUGCGUCGUAGUCCGGAUUGGAGUCUGCAACUCGACUCCAUGAAGUCGGAAUCGCUAGUAAUCGUAGAUCAGAAUGCUACGGUGAAUACGUUCCCGGGCCUUGUACACACCGCCCGUCACACCAUGGGAGUGGGUUGCAAAAGAAGUAGGUAGCUUAACCUUCGGGAGGGCGCUUACCACUUUGUGAUUCAUGACUGGGGUGAAGUCGUAACAAGGUAACCGUAA
rnacentral:rRNA from 1 species